rnacentral:misc_RNA from 1 species
UACAGAGGGUGCAAGCGUUAAUCGGCUUUACUGGGCGUAAACCGUGCGUAGGCGGCGUUUUAAGUCGGCUGCGAAAUCCCCGAGCUUAACUUGGGAAUUGCAUUCGAUACUGGGAAGCUAGAGUAUGGGAGAGGAUGGUAGAAUUCCAGGUGCAGCGGUGAAAUGCGUAGAGAUCUGGAGGAAUACCGAUGGCGAAGGCAGCCAUCUGGCCUAAUACUGACGCUGAGGUACGAAAGCAUGGGGAGCAAAAAGG